GCAGCACAGCCAGGAUCUGAGCAGCCAGGGCCACAUAGUAGCCAGAGAGGAAGGCCAACGCCAGGAUACCAUAAAGGAUGAAGAGCAGCUGGAGUGACUGGGGAUGGAUGGCCAAAGACCUGCCUAGCUGAGUAUGAAGAAAUUUGUUCUGUAAAGGAUAGGAUGAUUCAUAUUGCCAGAGACUCGCCACCUUCUGCAAGGCCACAGAAGAGUUCCUGCAGGUCAGAGGAAGCAACAAUCCGGUCACUGGUGAAACUAGAUGUCCCUGAAGCACUUCUAAUUGUGUAUUUGUGCCUUCUCACCUAAUCAAACUAUACAUUCUAUAAAAAUGUGAACUAUAUGUCAUAUAAAAUUUGAUUCCAGCCAAGAAAAACAGCAAAGUGAACAGAGAAGCAGGAAAACUUGGUAUCGUCUUACUUUUGAUACCAACCAGCUAUCUCUGUGUCCCAGACAUUCACUAAAUUACAAGUGAGCUGGUGAUCUGCAUAGGUAGAUGGAAUCUCCACACCAAGAAUUCCUGAUACUGGUGAAAUCACAGGUCUGGACUCCUCCAACAACUAUUUCAACAUACCUGGAUGGCUCUAAUACAUGUUACACCUUCCCGUCACUACUCCUUUGCCUUCGUUUUUACUGUUCCCAAUAUACAUAAGCUGCCCUUUAUACUGAACCCAGAGAGCCUAGAAAGCCCUCUCCCAACUCUACUCGAACUCACUCCUUUCUCAAGGCUCAGCUCAAGGGCUCCUGCCCUUCAAUUAAACUUUUCUUGAUCCACCUACUCAAAAGCUUUAUUAUAUGCCUUUUUCAUUCUUACAAUUAUCUGUGUUACCUCCUUCCUGGGCUAUAAGGUCCAGGACAUAAAGGUUUUGUUUCUUUUUUUGUCUUGUUCAGAGUAGGACACUCCAUAUAUCAGUCCUUAAUAAAUAUUUAUUAAAGUGCCUGAA